AACCUUACCAGGUCUUGACAUACUCGUGCUAUUCCUAGAGAUAGGAAGUUCCUUCGGGACACGGGAUACAGGUGGUGCAUGGUUGUCGUCAGCUCGUGUCGUGAGAUGUUGGGUUAAGUCCCGCAACGAGCGCAACCCCUAUUGUUAGUUGCCAUCAUUAAGUUGGGCACUCUAACGAGACUGCCGGUGAUAAACCGGAGGAAGGUGGGGAUGACGUCAAAUCAUCAUGCCCCUUAUGACCUGGGCUACACACGUGCUACAAUGGAUGGUACAACGAGUCGCGAGACAGUGAUGUUUAGCUAAUCUCUUAAAACCAUUCUCAGUUCGGAUUGUAGGCUGCAACUCGCCUACAUGAAGUCGGAAUCGCUAGUAAUCGCGGAUCAGCACGCCGCGGUGAAUACGUUCCCGGGCCUUGUACACACCGCCCGUCACACCACGGGAGUUGGGAGUACCCGAAGUAGGUUGCCUAACCGCAAGGAGGGCGCUUCCUAAGGUAAGACCGAUGACUGGGGUGAAGUCGUAACA
rnacentral:rRNA from 1 species